GGGGAGGUAGUGUGCCUGCUCUCCGAAAGGGAGGAGUCAGGCACAGGGACAGGGCAGCUGGAGCUCCACUUCAAAUCUUCUUUACCCGAGAAACUCUGCAUUACAGUCUUUGUGAUAAACAUUUAGGAGUUUCACGAGUCGCUUUACUUUUGUGUUUAGGCUUUAGGUAUGUAGACAAAGACUGGGCGCUAGUUCAGUGCUGGGCUGCCCCUGCCAAGAGCACGUAGGAAAAAAAGAAAAAAGAAAACGAAGACGAGUGAAAAAAGAAAAGUCCGCAGAGCAGUUUUGGAGUUUAAAGUGAAGAAGCUUAGAGUGUCUGUCUGCAACUAGCAUCUGCACGCGAGCGAGAAGAAAGUCUGUGAGGACAGGACAGAAAAGUUUCGCAACUGAACGAGUAUCCUGUCUUGAUGAGGUACUGAGGAAUGCACAGUUGUCAUGGAAACCCAGUCCCAGACCAGUUCUGCAGCAGAGAAGAAGAAGAGAGUGGAGACCAUUGUAGCCACCAAGAGCGCGCCCACCCGUGCAGAGAUCAGUGAAAAGGCUGUGGCCUCCAGCACUACCUCCAAUGGACCGCCCUGCUGUCAAGCUCGCCGGCCGCGCCGUUGUCAAGCCUGCCGGCCGCGCCAAAGACAAGCCUGCCGGCCGCUCCGAAGUCAAGCCCGCCGACCAGACCAUUGUCAAGCCCGCUGGCCACGGCUCCCACAAGCCCGCCGUUCCCGAGUAUAGCCCAAGGAGGGCUCCUGUUCCCGAGUUUAGCCCACGGAGGGCUCCUGUUCCCGAGUAUAG
rnacentral:lncRNA from 1 species